rnacentral:lncRNA from 1 species
AUGUGUGUGUGUGUUUGCUACAUCUUUAGUGGUCAGGCUGAGUGUGUGUGUGUUUGGGACGGUCAUCUCGGAGGGGUUUAUGUGAGUCCGAUCUCCUCGAGGACGCUGCGGGGAGUCUCUGCUUCCUGUGGGAGGAAGAUCAACACUUCGAAAUCAUUCGAUAACACAACACAUACAAACCCUGAAACUCUGCUACACACACCAACUAUACCCCAAAACACACGAAAUAAUCAAAUGUGGGCUUUGUUUUUGCUAUAAAUAUCAAUAUUCACUAAAAAAUCAGUAAAUAAUUCAAAUGUUAGGUAUGUUAGGUAAAUGUUAAUUUAAAUGUGGCCUUUGUUUUUGUUAUAUAAAACAAAUACUUACCAACAAAUGAUAAUUAAAAUUUCGGGUGCAUUUUAAAAAAAUUCAAAUGUUGGCUUUGUUUUUGUUAUAAAAACCAAAUAUUUACUAAACAAUCUGUAAAUAAUUUAAAUGUUAGCUUUGUUUUGUUUUAACAAAAACAAAUAAUUCAAAUCUUGGCUUUAUUUUGUUAUAAAAAUAUAUACCAAACAAAAAAUGUAUAUUUCAAAUGUUAGCUUUAUUGUUUUAUUAUUUAAAAAAUAAAUAAAUUUUUUACCAAAUAAACACCAAAUAAUUCAAAUGCUGGCUGUGUUUUUUGUCAUAAAAACAAAAAAAUACUUUAUCCGCAUAAAAAAAAUUACCAACAAAUACUAAAUAUUUCAAAUAUUGGCUUUGUCAUAAAAAAAAAAUUACUAAACAGAUAAUCAUUCAGAUGCUACCUUUGUUUUUGUUUGUUUUAGUUUUUUGUUUUGUUUUAUAUUUAUCAACAAUCACUAAAUGCAAAAGUUGGCUUUGAUUUUGUUAGAAAAGCCAGAUAUUAAAUAAUUACCAACAAAAAUGAAAAAAAAAUUAAUAAAUAAAUAAUAAAAUCUCUAGACAUUGUGUUUGCUAUAAAAAUGAUAUUCAUCAAACAAAUACUAAAUAAUUAAAUGCUGGCUUUGUAUUUCAUUCUAAAGAAUGUAACUUUUUUUAAUGAAUAAUUAAUGUAACUUUUUGCAGAGAAUCUGCAUUUACUUUGUAUUCAUCAUGUAAAUAUGCAUAUUUUAUCUUUUUAAAUGUAUCUUAUAAUUGUUUUUUUUUCUGAAUGUAUUGCAAAACUAUAAAUGGUUUACUUAAAAAAUAUUAUUUUAUUUUCAUUAACACAGUCAACACAGCAUAUUUAACAAAGCUUCUGAAGGGCAGAACAGCUUUCAGAAGAUAUAACAGAUGAGAUCACAACACAAACACAAGGUGGCGAUGAAUUGUGUUUUAUAGGUUUUGUACGCCGGCCAAGAGGUGACAUCCGAGAACAACAUUUCCCCACUCAGACAUCAUGAUUUAGAUGUCUUAUAUCAAAUAUCAGUCUUUAUCAAAUAAAAACAGUGUGCUAAAUAUACUUUUGCAAUUAUUGUAUAGAUUUUGCGCUGGUGUGUCAUGCAGUGCCACCCCUCGGAGCUCAGCUGGUUUAUUUGAUAUGUAUGAAGCACAUGGAGAUGAGCCGAGCUAAAAUUAUCCUGCAAGAUCCGAAAAUAAUCAGCAUGUGGGCUGCCAUGUAGAAUGACUCACUGAUGACACAAAUACAUUACAACACACAGAACCGGAGCACAAAGAACAAGCUGAACUUACUUUGGCAUCCUGAACAUCAUCGGGCCAAAAAAUGUGGGGCGGGGGGGAAGAGAUAAAAAUUGCAUAAAUGAGUUCAGUCUGUUAUUUGCAUUCUUAAUGUUUCCAAAAAGGUUUUACAGUUUUUAGCCACAUCAAAACUUUUUAUGUACCAUAAGGAAUUGUUAAAACAUCAAAGAUUAGAGUAAUACAAUGACUAGUUAACAUUAAUCAACCUACACGACACAAAGACGCUUCAGAGGUGGAGCAAUUUGAUGAAAGAUCAUGACGAACUAAAUUCAAACACUAAAAGCAAACACUAAAUUCAAAUUUGAGCUUUGUUUUUAUUAUAAAAAGUAAAUAUUUACAAAAAAUACUACAUUUAAAAUUUGGCUUAGUUUUUUUAUAAAAACUAAAUAUUUACAAAAAAUAAAUAAAUAACAAUAAUUUAAAUAUGGGAUUUGUUUUUGUUAUAAAACUAAAUAUUUAUCAUAAAAUAUCAAGUAAUUCAAAUGUGAGCUUUGUUGCUGUAAUAAAAACUAAAUAUUUACCAAAAAAAAAAAUCACCAAACUAUAUGAAUGUGGGCGUUGUUUUUGUCAUAAAAAUUAAAUAUGGGUUUUGAUUUUUAGUUAGAAAAAAAAAUAUUUACCAAAAAACAAAUAAUUCAAAUAUGAGAUUUGAUUUUGUUAUAA